rnacentral:misc_RNA from 1 species
GAUGAAGAACGUAGCGAAAUGCGAUAAGUAAUGUGAAUUGCAGAAUUCAGUGAAUCAUCGAAUCUUUGAACGCACAUUGCGCCCGCCAGUAUUCUGGCGGGCAUGCCUGUUCGAGCGUCAUUUCAACCCUCAAGCACAGCUUGGUGUUGGGACUCGCGUUAAUUCGCGUUCCUCAAAUUGAUUGGCGGUCACGUCGAGCUUCCAUAGCGUAGUAGUAAAACCCUCGUUACUGGUAAUCGUCGCGGCCACGCCGUUAAACCCCAACUUCUGAAUGUUGACCUCGGAUCAGGUAGGAAUACCCGCUGAACUUAAGCAUAUCAAUAAGCGGAGGA